rnacentral:rRNA from 1 species
UAAAUAGCCAGGCCGGCUUUGGCUGGUCGCCGGCUUCUUAGAGGGACUGUCAGUGUCUAACUGACGGAAGUUUGAGGCAAUAACAGGUCUGUGAUGCCCUUAGAUGUUC